GGCUGACGGCAAUGGCUAUUUUGCUUCCUAGAUCUAUAUCUGAAAAUUGAGACUGAGACUUUGAGUCUUGAGAGCAGAGAGUCUAAGAGUAAAACUCUAAGAGAGUUCGAUUGUGAAGACGACGACACGACGACGACGACGACUGUGAAGCACUGAAGCUUCUUAUCUUCGUCCCGAAUCCACGCCGAGUCGCCGACUGUGAACUGUGAAGCUUCUUCUUCUUCUCUUCGAUAGUUAGAUACUUCGAUCGAUCACCUCGACAACUGAGAAGGUUUGAUUUUUUCCUUUAUAUGAUUUUUCAUUUUUUCUGGUCAUUAUAUAAUAUAUCUCAGUGACUCAGUGUAAUUUUUUCCUUUAUAUUUUUUCAUGUUCGAGUUAGGUACGUAUGUAGAUUACAUAUAGGGAAAAUAUGAACACUGAAGUCUGAACCAACUUCUAUUAUUUGACUCAGUGUAAUUUUUUCCUUUAUAGGUUUAUGUAGCUUAAAUCCAAAAAUUUUGUCCAACUUUUCACUUGCAGAAAAUGAGAAACCCAAAAAUCAAGAUUGUGAAAUUCUACCAGAUAAGAAUUUAGUAUUUAUAUAUAUACUACAUAUGUUUUGUUCCCAAUUUAGUAUUUAUAUACUACAUAUGUUUUAUAUACUACAUAUGUUUUGAGACAGAGAAGAAGAAUGAACAUACCCUGGGUUUCAAUUGAUUUAUUCCCAUUUCUUGACUCCUCUUAGUGGUCGAGAGAUUUAAAAUAAAUGAACAUUUUCACUCUAUUCUGAUUCUAAUUAUGUUGAACAUUUUCACUCUAUUCUAAUUCUAAUUCUAUUCUGAUUGUAUAAUCCUUUAUAUAUUUUGUUUGAAGAGUUCUUAUGGAUCGUGUAACAAUUAGUAACUUCAUGCUAUUUUAUUUUGGAUUUUGAUUUCUUUUCUGAAUUAAUUUGCAUUUAUAGGGUAUAUGAAAAUACGAAAUAACAAAUUAUGCAUUUUUGGAGUUUUGAUAAGCUACUAAGUUAUCGAGUGUGUUACUCGUUUGGUGAAAAUAAGAUUUUUGUUUUGUUUGUUUUGAGAGUGCAGUUUUUGUCACUGGUUUAGUGAUUACAAGGACUUUUUUUGUGUUGAGUGCAGACCGGAGUAAAUAUUCAUUGCAACUUGCAAGGGUGACAACACCCUUAAUUAUUUUUUGGUAAUUCAACCUCUUUAAUUAUCUGAAUGUCUAUUGUCUAUGAAUAACUAGACACACGAGGAUGUUAUCGCAGUUUAAUUCAGUAUUUUAUUGAAAAACUUGAGGGGUCACCUGGUGGAUAUUUUAGUCAUCAAAUCAUUUUUGCUUCUUUAAAUUUUCUAAUUUAUGAUUGUCCUUGUUGAUUUUGAGCAGCAAUUCAUGCUAUUGAGUAGCAAUUCAUGUAUUUUGGACAUUGGACUGCAAGUAUGCAUUUGGACUUUGAAGCUUACUUCUGUUGAUACCUUGAUGGUGACAUACUGACAUACUAAUAGUCUUGCUGAGUUGUUAUCUUGGUUUGUAAUUUGAAUGUGUACUUUAUGUCUUUACUCUUUAGACUUUAUCAUUUGAUAUUUAUCAAUCAUUGUAUUGUAAUAUGUUACAACAACUAAACUUUCUCUAGAAAGAAAGUGGAGACAGGACAGAAUGAAUGAUUACAAUUAAAAUAUUAUUGUGAAAUUUGUGAAUUGUGAUGUACAGGG
rnacentral:lncRNA from 1 species